rnacentral:rRNA from 1 species
GCCGAGCGGUAGAGAUUCUUCGGAAUCUUGAGAGCGGCGUACGGGUGCGGAACACGUGUGCAACCUGCCUUUAUCAGGGGGAUAGCCUUUCGAAAGGAAGAUUAAUACCCCAUAAUAUAUUGAAUGGCAUCAUUUAAUAUUGAAAACUCCGGUGGAUAGAGAUGGGCACGCGCAAGAUUAGAUAGUUGGUAGGGUAACGGCCUACCAAGUCAGUGAUCUUUAGGGGGCCUGAGAGGGUGAUCCCCCACACUGGUACUGAGACACGGACCAGACUCCUACGGGAGGCAGCAGUGAGGAAUAUUGGACAAUGGGUGAGAGCCUGAUCCAGCCAUCCCGCGUGAAGGACGACGGCCCUAUGGGUUGUAAACUUCUUUUGUAUAGGGAUAAACCUACUCUCGUGAGAGUAGCUGAAGGUACUAUACGAAUAAGCACCGGCUAACUCCGUGCCAGCAGCCGCGGUAAUACGGAGGGUGCAAGCGUUAUCCGGAUUUAUUGGGUUUAAAGGGUCCGUAGGCGGAUCUGUAAGUCAGUGGUGAAAUCUCAUAGCUUAACUAUGAAACUGCCAUUGAUACUGCAGGUCUUGAGUAAAGUAGAAGUGGCUGGAAUAAGUAGUGUAGCGGUGAAAUGCAUAGAUAUUACUUAGAACACCAAUUGCGAAGGCAGGUCACUAUGUUUUAACUGACGCUGAUGG